AUAGUACUCCCUCCGUCUGGAAAAGCCUGUCCCUUAAAUGAAUGUAUCUAGCACCAACUUAGUGUUAGAUACAUCUGUUUGAGGGACAAAUUUAGAACAAGUUUUUCAGACGGAGGGAGUACAUC
rfam:Triticum aestivum genome assembly, contig: Triticum_aestivum_CS42_TGACv1_scaffold_485573_6AS